UGGAACAAAAGGGGAAACUCUGAUGAACUCUCUCCAUCCUCCUCCUCUGACGCCUGGUUAUCUCUCCUCUCACAACUUUGCUGGAGAGACUCUCUCCAGUGCUAGGCACCCAACAAAUUCGGGGGCUUUAGGAACUGGAGUUAGAGAACCAUCUCUUUUAAAAUGGAUAAAAGAGGGGGGAGAAGAAGGUGCCGGAAUGAUGAUGGGCAACAUCUAGGAAGCAAGACAAUGGCUAGAAUACCUUUCUAGCAAGUUACCUCCUCCAGGCUGCAUUGUUCUUGUUGGACAUUUCUGACAAUGGAUAUAGCCAGGCCAAGCGGAGUGAAAGACUCUAACCUUCACUUGGGAUUAUCAUUUAAGAAUUUGACGCUGGGAGUUUUGGAUAUGACAUGACUAUUAUGAAGGAUACUGUUACUGUUGGGAAUACAACUUCUUGAUCACUGGGAAUUCUCUGUCUUAUAGAAGGUAUUGGCUAAAUCUCAUUUUACUGGAUGGCCACUGAAGCAUGAUCACAAGACAGACAUGGUGGAUAAGUGCUUCUCAGUAUCUUGAAGUGGACAAAUACUGAAGGGGUGGAAAUUGGAAUUAGCCUGGACUAGCUGAGAUGGCUGUCUAGCCUCUACUUGCAUAUCUCCAGUGACGGUAUGCUCACCGCCUUAGGAGAUGACCACUUCCAUUGUUGGAAACCUCCAAUUACCAAUAAUACCACAAGGAUGGGCAACUAUGGUAAAAACCUAGGACAGCAUAUGCACCUGGAAGAAUACUACUCACAUGGCAUUGCAAGUGCCUUCCAUAGAAAUGAAGUCAACCCAGAUAAUUUUGAUCAUUUCAAAUCAUGGAUUUAAGCACCAUCUGGAAGUUGACCACCAAUUGAGAAUGCGGCAUCUUGAACUUGAAUUUCAUAACCCUGAAAACAAUUAAAUUUUAUAGGGAAAAGGAGGGGAUGAGGAUGGGAGGAGCAAUUUGAGAUUUAGAAGAGAAACGGGCACUUGAAGUUCUCUCCAACAUCAUCGGUAUCUUUCAGAUGAAUCUUUGGUAGGGUCAAGGAAUUAUUUUCAUUGGCGUUCUGACUUACCUGGUAAAUUAGGCAGACAUGUCUGUGCAAAGUAAAGGUGUUAAGUGAAGAGGAUUGGGUCACCUUGAGCUGGAUUGUAAUUAAAAACAGAACAAACAAACAAAAAACUCUUUUCAUCAUGUUGAAAACUUUUGCCUUACCAAAGGGAAUGAAGUCCCUGAAGCAGAGCAAAACCAUCUGUAAAAUGAGAGGAUUGCACUACAUGGCCUCUAAAGUUCCUUCAGAUUCUGUGAUCUUGGUAGUGCAGAUAAAAAUAUCUGGUGAACAAAUACCAUAGUGACAUUUUCUGAAUAAAAAUACUCAAUAAUA